GCGGAGCAUGCUGGAUUAAUUCGAUGCAACGCGAAGAACCUUACCAUAGGCUUGACAUGUCACUCGAAUCGCCGUAAAAAUAGCAUGUGGUCCCCUUCGGGGAGCGGGUACACAGGUGGCUGCAUGGUUGUCGUCAGCUCGUGUCGUGAGAUGUUGGGUUAAGUCCCGCAACGAGCGCAACCCUCGUUCCAUGUUGCCAGCACGUCGUGGUGGGGACUCAUGGGAAACUGCCGGGGUCAACUCGGAGGAAGGUGAGGACGACGUCAAAUCAUCAUGCCCCUUAUGUCUUGGGCUCCACGCAUGCUACAAUGGCCGGUACAAUGGGUUGCAAUACUGUGAGGUGGAGCUACUCCCAAAAAGCCGGUCUCAGUCCGGAUGGGGGUCUGCAACUCGACCCCAUGAAGUCGGAGUCGCUAGUAAUCGCAUAUCAGCUACGCUGCGGUUACUACGUCCCCGGGCGUUGCACACACCGCCAGGAAA
rnacentral:rRNA from 1 species